rnacentral:rRNA from 1 species
GGUCCCGGGAUAGCCCAGGGAAACCUGGAUUAAUACCGGAUGAGACGGGACCCGCGAUGGCGGGACCCGGAAAGGCGCUGCGGCGCCGCCGGGGGAUGAGUCUGCGUCCCAUUAGCUAGACGGCGGGGUAACGGCCCACCGUGGCGACGAUGGGUAGCCGGCCUGAGAGGGUGGACGGCCACAUUGGAACCUGAGACACGGUCCAGACUCCUACGGGGAGGCAGCAGCUAAGAAUCUUCCGCAAUGGGCGAAAGCCUGACGGAGACCGACGUCCGCGUGAAACGAAGAAGGCCGUGAGGUUGUAAAGUUCUUUUCGGGAGGGGGAACAACCGUGGCAGGGAAUGGCCGCGGGAUGACGUGAAUCCCGGAAAUAAGCCCCGGCUAACUACGUGCCAGCCGCAGC